rnacentral:rRNA from 1 species
UACGUAGGGGGCAAGCGUUGUCCGGAUUUAUUGGGCGUAAAGAGCUCGUAGGUGGUUCGGUAAGUCGGAUGUGAAAUCUCCAGGCUCAACCUGGAGGGGUCAUUCGAUACUGCCGUGACUAGAGGUCGGUAGGGGAGUGUGGAAUUCCUGGUGGAGCGGUGAAAUGCGCAGAUAUCAGGAGGAACACCAGCGGCGAAGGCGGCGCUCUGGGCCGGAACUGACGCUGAGGAGCGAAAGCGUGGGUAGCAAACAGG